CUCAUUAGGCAGGGGUGCCUGAUACCUGAGUUUGCUCCCCAAGACCCACGUGGUGGAAGAAGAUAGCCAUCUACAAGUUGUCCUCUGACCUCCAGGAGCCUGCCAUGGAUGUCUUGUUAUAUCCAGGAUUGGUAGUGGAGGAAUUGACUGCUGUUCAGAAAAUCUCUACCCAUUUGGUUUCACAAAUGUGAGAAUAAGAGAAAAGAAAAGAAGUCAAACUUUAUAAGCUCAAGUUACCGCAGGUAACUUGAAUGAUGUCCCAUCGGCUUUACAUCCAUCACAUGCUUCUGUGCAGCUUCCUUUCUUUCUGAACACGUUCAUGAAAAUCUGUUCAGUGCACAGAGAACCAACAAGAAGCAAGUCAAGUCGCACGGAGAAAAGCGGUCCUUCGCAGCGACAGCACUGCUGAACUCAGGUGUUGACUGUGAAGCGUCAAAUCCCAGAGAAGAUCGUCAGUCUGGCCUUGGGAGGUGUACGCAGCCCCCGCAAGGGAAUCCUCAGAGGAAGCAGUAGUGGCUUUUCAACAUUUGUUUGUUUUCUUGCCUUUGAAGAGCCUACAUGAGUGUUCAGCCAUUCCUGGCCCGAGUUCAGAAUAGGAACUGUUGGUUUUCUGAGCCUUUUCGUCCUUUUCCAAACCACCAGUUUUAUGGGUUUGGCUUCAUAACCAAUAACUCUUUUCACAACAUUAAAAAUGUGUGCAUAAUAAAAAAAAAGACAAGAUAAAAAAUGUGUGCAUAAGAUGACAGCACUGUACCUUUAAAGAAGUGAGAAGACUUUUAAAAAAAAGAAUGGCUUAGAGAGUGAAGAUAUUCAUUGCUGAGCAUACAAUAUACUCUGAUCAUAUUUGCCUCCACUCCUCUUCAUGUGCCCUCCUAGAUCCACCCCAUCCCUGUCCCUGUCCCCGUCCCCAUCCCCAUCCAAACACUGUCUCCUCUUAUUUUCUUUUUGUGUACCUCACCCAGUCCAGUCUGUGCUGCCCAUACCCUCACAAGCCUGGGCCUCUCACUGGGGUAAGGCCAACCUACCAGAGAUCUCACCAUUAAAGAAAACUCCUUCCCC
rnacentral:lncRNA from 1 species